rnacentral:rRNA from 1 species
UACAGAGGGUGCGAGCGUUGUUCGGAAUUACUGGGCGUAAAGGGCUCGUAGGCGGCCAACUAAGUCAGACGUGAAAUCCCCAGGCUCAACCUGGGAACUGCGUCUGAUACUGGAUGGCUUGAAUCCGGGAGAGGGAUGCAGAAUUCCAGGUGUAGCGGUGAAAUGCGUAGAUAUCUGGAGGAAUACCGGUGGCGAAGGCGGCAUCCUGGACCGGCAUUGACGCUGAGGAGCGAAAGCCAGGGGAGCAAACGGG